ACUCCCUCCUCCAUGCUAAGCCAUGAGCCACUCCAGGGCAGCACACUAACAUCAGCUCCCACGCUUCUCAGCCGUGGGUCCUCAGGGGAGUCCUUAACUACACUGGGCCCUGGUGCUUCCUCUGUGGUCACUUGUAGCACAGAUCUGGCCCCUUCUUGGCCCUCUCCAUCCCUGACCUACCCCUUUGUGCCCCACACCAACCUACAGACCUUUGUUCUCUUGUAGGAGCACAGCUACACCCUCCUGCCCCAGGGCCUUUGCAAAUGCUGUCCCUUCCAUCUGGACCACUCCUCCUGCCCUCCUGACCCUUCAGGUCUGAGCUUCCCUGCCCCUCUCUUCACAGUGUAAUGACACAUUGCUGGGUUGUUUGAUUCCUCUGACCUCCCCACUGGUCUGUAAGCCCCACAAGGACAGGUAUUAUCUUGUUUGCUGCUGUAAACUCUGCAUCCACCUAUACUGCCUGGCGUAGAUAGUAGGUGCUCAAUAAAAAAUUGCAAAAGUUGUCUAAGAGCGUAGAAAUUAGACAGGCUACACACCA
rnacentral:lncRNA from 1 species